rnacentral:rRNA from 1 species
AGUAAUACAUCGGAACGUGUCUUCUAGUGGGGGAUAACUGCCCGAAAGGGCAGCUAAUACCGCAUGAGACCUGAGGGUGAAAGCGGGGGAUCGCAAGACCUCGCGCUGGAAGAGCGGCCGAUGUCCGAUUAGCUAGUUGGUGAGGUAAAGGCUCAUCAAGGCGACGAUCGGUAGCUGGUCUGAGAGGACGACCAGCCACACUGGGACUGAGACACGGCCCAG